ACUCUUGAAGUGCCACCAGGACAGCCUCAAUUAGUUGUCUCUUUCAGCACAUUUCAGUUUGUCUAGGAAGCCUCUUGAAAUUAAAACUCCUAUGUACAUACAUUCAACAGUGCUGGAUGUCAGCGAGCUACGUGCUCAUGCAUUAAUGAAAUUGGGGUGACUGGGAGGAGCAGCAUACAAUGCUGGAUGCAAUGUGUGGGGUCCCUUGGCAAGGUCUUCCAGGACAUGAACAUAAUGGGGCAAAACAUGUUGCAAGACACAUGGACAAUUCAGGUGUAAGGGUGACGUACUGAUUGGGGUGGUAUUUCAGGGGCUUCUCAUAGAAACAAAGGGAAAACAUACCUAAACUGUAAACUGUGAUGCUGUGGAUUACAAGGACAGCCUGAGAGCCUUUAUUCACUUUGGAUCCUCAUGAUCAUCUGAAAAUUUGACCGACCUGCUUUGCACAUACUCAUGUUUGUGUUUGUUUUGUGACUAACAUUUAAUCAGUGCUGUAACAAGAGUUGCAAAAACUUCAGUAAAUGUUACCAAAAUUAUCUUGUACUAUGAACGAAGAUGUCUUCUGUGAAGGUUACUAUAUAUCCUUGAUGUGUUUACCCAUUUGGGUGUAUUUUAACAUCAAAAGCUCCUUUGCCAAAUACCCUUUUCACUCCAUAUUCCCCCAGUCUGAGUUUACCUGAAAGGAAACAAAAAAAGUAUGGCAUCUGAAAGCAGUGUUGAAUUAAGGUUGGAAAUGUGUGCUUUGUAUUCCGUUGUGCUUGCAGGGCUGAGUACCUGUGUCUGUGACACAGUACACUGCGUCAGUGGUCUAAUUCCAUAGUUGUUGGCAUGAUUCUUCCUUUUGCAAACCAAACCAGUAGAAAUGAGGAGCAGGAUGUAAAGCCACAUCUGCUCACUUGCUGAGCUGCCAUAAGCAAGUGAACUCCUUACACUGCUCUUCUAGCUGUUAAUUCACAGCAAAUAAGCUGACCCUCACUCACAGAGACAUUUGGAGUGCUCUUCUCCCUGUGACUUCCUCAUGCAUAUUGAAAUUUGCAUCUCUUGGUGGAUCAGCAGAUGCAGACUCCUCAGGCAUGUAGAGUAAUGGGCAGUGCAGCACAGAGAUGGUGAGAAGCUCCCCUGUAUGUUAUUACCCCAGUACUCAAUAUCAUGCUUUUAAUCACGCUCCAGAAGAUUGACUGUGAUAUAUCCAGACAGAGGUGCAGAUUUGGGUACAUGGAAAAGCUUUGUCACCAACAGUGAAGCCAUGGAAUGGGUUGCCUCAAGAGGCUGUACAGCCUCCCUCCUUGCAGACUGCAUGAUCCAGAUAAAGCCCUGAGCAACCUAGUCUGACUCACACCUUUGAGAAAGGUACUUCUGGUGUCAGAAGGUAUGGUGGGAAUACUGAGCCACUGGCCCACACAGGCAAUUCUGGAACACCCUCAGUCUCCCCAGUCCACUAACAGAGAUUAAUGUCGUGUUUAUGCAAUUAAUGUAAAUUAAGUGUCAUGGAUUAAAACUGACUCAUCAUUGCUCUUAGUCUUUGUAGCUAACCUUAUUUGAGUCAUAAUGUGCUACUUCGUAUUUUAAAUUAAACUUGCUCAGGAAAAGACAAGCUCAAUAAGUCUGCCACCUGCAAAGCA